rnacentral:lncRNA from 10 species
GUGGAUGAAUCAGCUACACUUCUAUCCUUUUCACAUAACCCAGACAGUUCAAAGGAGUUGGAGAUGCAUUUGCUGUAUUUUGCUUUUUGCAAAGGAUAAGUGUCUCUUCCCAACUUUUAUGAUUUGAAUAAUGAUUUAACAAUGAAGAUCCUGGAAACACAAACUCUAUGGGAGAAAUUAUAAGCCAGGUCUUCAUCUAAAAGAAGAAAUGUGAUUCCGGGCAAGAUGGCCUAAUGGGAACAGCUCUGGUCUGCAGCUCCCAGCAAGACCAACGCAGAAGGCAGGUGAUUUCUGCAUUUCCAACUGAGGUACCCAGUUCAUCUCAUUGGGACUGGUUAGACAGUGGGUGCAGUGCAUAGAGGGCGAGCUGAAGCAGGGUGGGGCAUCACCUCACCUGGGAAGUGCAAGGGGUCAGCGAACUCCCUCCCCUAGCCAAGAGAAGCCCCAAGGGACUGUGCUGUGAGGAAUGGUGCAUUUGAGCCCAGAUACUACACUUUUCCCACAGUCUUCGAAACCCACAGACCAGGAGAUUCCCUAGGGUGCCUACACCACCAGGGCCCUGGGUUUCAAGCACAAAACUGGGUAGCCAUUUGGGCAGACACUGAGCUAGCUGCAGGAGGUUUUUUUUUGUUGUUGUUGUUUUUUCAUUUCAGUGGUACCCAGAACACCAGCAAGACAGAUCUGUUCAAUCCCCUGAAAAGGGUGCUGAAGCCAGGGAGCCAAGUGGUCUAGCUCAGCAGAUCCCACACCCAUGGAGCCCAACAAGCUAAGAUCCAUGGGCUUGAAAUUCUUGCUGCCAGCACGGCAGUCUGAAGUCAACCUGGGAUGCUCAAGCUUGAUGGGGGGAGGGACGUCCACCAUUACUGAGGCUUGAGUAGGCAGUCUUCCCCUCAUAGUGUAAACAAAGCCGCCAGG